GACAUAGGUCGCAAACGUUAUCCGGAAUUAUUGGGCGUAAAGCGCGCGCAGGCGGCUAUGUAAGUCUGAUGUUAAAGCCCGAGGCUCAACCUCGGUUCGCAUUGGAAACUGUGUAGCUUGAGUGCAGAAGAGGAAAGCGGUAUUCCACGUGUAGCGGUGAAAUGCGUAGAGAUGUGGAGGAACACCAGUGGCGAAGGCGGCUUUCUGGUCUGUAACUGACGCUGAGGCGCGAAAGCGUGGGGAGCAAACAGG
rnacentral:rRNA from 1 species